GCGAGAGUGACGGAACGGUAGACGUAGUCGACUCAAAAUCGACCGCCGCAAGGCAUGGGGGUUCAGAUCCCCUCUCGUACCA
rnacentral:tRNA from 1 species